CCUACGGGAGGCUGCAGUGGGGAAUAUUGCACAAUGGGGGAAACCCUGAUGCAGCGACGCCGCGUGAAUGAAGAAGUACUUCGUGAUGUAAAGCUCUAUCAGCAGGGAAGAAAAUGACGGUACCUGACCAAGAAGCCCCGGCCACAUACGUUCCAGCAGCCGCGGUAAUACGUAGGGUGCAAGCGUUAUCCGGAUGUACUGGGGGUAAAGGGAGCGUAGACGGCAGGGCAAGUCAGGAGUGAAAGUCUGGGGCUCAACCCCCGGACUGCCGUGGAAACUGCCAGGCUGGAGUGCAGGAGAGGUAAGUGGAAUUCCUAGUGUAGCGGUGAAAUGCGUAGAUAUUAGGAGGAACACCAGUGGCGAAGGCGGCUUACUGGACUGUAACUGACGUUGAGGCUCGAAAGCGUGGGGAGCAAACAGGAUUAGAUACCCCGGUAGUC
rnacentral:rRNA from 1 species